AUUGAACGCUGGCGGCAUGCCUUACACAUGCAAGUCGAACGGUAACAGGUCUUCGGAUGCUGACGAGUGGCGAACGGGUGAGUAAUACAUCGGAACGUGCCCGAUCGUGGGGGAUAACGAGGCGAAAGCUUUGCUAAUACCGCAUACGAUCUACGGAUGAAAGCGGGGGAUCUUCGGACCUCGCGCGGACGGAGCGGCCGAUGGCAGAUUAGGUAGUUGGUGGGAUAAAAGCUUACCAAGCCGACGAUCUGUAGCUGGUCUGAGAGGAUGUUCAGCCACACUGGGACUGAGACACGGCCCAGACUCCUACGGGAGGCAGCAGUGGGGAAUUUUGGACAAUGGGCGAAAGCCUGAUCCAGCCAUGCCGCGUGCAGGAUGAAGGCCUUCGGGUUGUAAACUGCUUUUGUACGGAACGAAAAGCCUCUUUCUAAUAAAGAGGGGUCAUGACGGUACCGUAAGAAUAAGCACCGGCUAACUACGUG
rnacentral:rRNA from 1 species